rnacentral:lncRNA from 1 species
CUGGCACUAAAGGGUAAAGGGACAAUAUAUAUUGUCCCUAUCCUAUAUAGGGACAAGCACUGGAUGUCUUCUUCAUCAGUGAUACAUUCUGAAGGAAACAGAAAAGCAUUCUUUGCACAUUGAUACUGCUUAGAAGCAUUGGAAAGAGUUAAACCCUCCUGAGGCUGUGGACCCCACAGAGUAUCCCAGAGUGUACUUCCAUGAGAACCAUCAUAAUUUGUGUCUGUCAAGCUGGGCAACACACAGGAGCUGACAAAAUUAAACUCUGCUCCAACUCACCUAUGUCCCAGGCAUAAUUUAAGAAUCAGAAGAAGGCAUUUCUGAAAACAUCUAAGCUAACCUUGUGCAAAAUGGAUAGAGGGCACCUCAUAUAUCACUUCUGCAUGUAAGGGAUCAGAAGGACUGCUCUGCAACAAGACAGCAGGAUUUUCCCAUAAAGUAAGAAAAAUAUUACCCUUGACUUAAAGAGGACUUGCCUAACCCUACCCAGCUACGAAAUCUCAAAGUGUGGAGAGAAGAAGAGUUUAAAAUUGACACAGGAAGUUCAGCAUCAACAAAUCACAAAUGCUGUUGAAGAAACUCCAAAAAUGCUGUAAAGCUUAAGAAAAACUGCAGUGGCAUAUACCUUAGCACAUUUCCUCCCACAAGGAGUGAGAA